rnacentral:rRNA from 1 species
GUGCCAGCAGCCCAGUGCCAGCAGCCGCGGUAAUACGUAGGUGGCGAGCGUUGUCCGGAUUUACUGGGCGUAAAGAGCGCGCAGGCGGCUGGUCAAGUCCGAUGUGAAAGCUCCCGGCUUAACUGGGAAAUUGCAUCGGAAACUGAUCGGCUGGAAGGUGGGAGAGGGUAGCGGAAUUCCCCGGUGUAGUGGUGAAAUGCGUAGAUAUCGGGAGGAACACCAACGGCGAAGGCAGCACUCUGGGCCGGAACUGACGCUGAGGAGCGAAAGCGUGGGUAGCGAACAGG